GCCCCCGUAGCUCAACGGAUAGAGUAGAAGAUUGCGGAUCUUUUGAUAGAGGUUCGAUUCCUCUCGGGGGCACCG
rnacentral:tRNA from 1 species